UUUAUAAGGGUCCUGCCACAAAAUUGAAACACCAGAAAAAAAAAAAUAAAACUGCAACAGAGAACAGGCAUACAGAUUCAAACAAUUGAUUUCAAAAAAUUUUACUAUAAUUAUUUUUUAAAAAAUAAAGCAAACAAAUUUAUGUGGACUAGCAUUGCAAAUAAGUAAAACAUAUAAUUUAUUUUUUGUUUCCCCUUGCUAAAUUGGACAAAAUUGCUACCAAUUGUAGUUUAGCCUAAAAUUGAUAAAAUUAAAGAAUAUGAUAGAUUUAAAAAAAAAAAUACAAAGUCCAGAAUAUUAGGCCAGAAGGAAAUUACAUACUUCAGUAAUGGUAAUGGAUCACUUUGGCCUAUGAUCUAUGCCUUUUUUUGUGUGUGUGUGUGUGUGAUUGAUAAGGUGAAAUUGUUUUAUUCUUCUUAAGUUGGCUACCUUCAUUUCUUGUUUUCUUUAGUUUAAUUCUGUUGAUAUCAUUUCAGAUAUUUACCAGAGGAGAUGAGGAACCCUUCUACUUUCAAAUGGAUGCUGCAAAAUCCACAAUACCGUCAACAACUGGAAGACAUGCUGUUAAGAGUCCGAGAACAAUUUUUGUGAAAAGUUAUAAGUCACCUUUCUGUUUGUGUAGCAUUAGCUUCAUUUAUAUUUGACUUUACAAACAUAAUUUAUCUGGAGAGGCUUCAUUUUUUCUGCUGUUAGUGCUUUCAAGUUUGAUGCUAACCUUAGUUGGUUCUUUUAAAUAUGAUCUCCUCUGAUAUGACACCGGUUGCAUGGGUAUUGCAAUUCCUCUUCCCUACCACGAUUGUGCUACCUGACUGAGCAUGAGCUGAAGUUGGAGCUAGGUCUUUAUGUUGUGUAUCGCCAGUGAUGAGAAUGUCAUGCUGCCUUGCCCCAUUAAGUCAUGAGUUUCAUCAAUGAUGCUGUUUCUGGUGAUUAAACUAGAAGGCAUUGUUCUGUCGUGUUGUCCUGCUAGGUGAGCACAAUGCCUUCCCUGGUCAAACCCAUUCCUACCCAAAUCUGAGUUAGUGAUGGUGCAAAGAGUCUGCCAGCCUCACACAAUUAGUUCCUUGGUCAUCUUUUCAUUUCAAUCCUCUGCCUUGUCUCUUCAAGUUAUGCUUAUGUCUAGGUCUCUUGCAAGGCCACAAGUCACCAAAUAAAAACUAAACAUGAUUUGAGGUGGAGUUGGGGAGAGAGUCCUGCCAUUUGUAAGCUAUUGUGGGACAAACAAACUUGUCCAAGAGGGAAUGAAUAGAUAUGAGGUUGAGGUAUUUUCAUGGAGAUAGUCUUUUGGUUUGGGGUUCCUGAAUACUGAGCAUGAAGUUUUGGUCUUUAGCUUCCAUUACCUGCCUUUCCCAUGUAUAUUAUUUCUGUUUAAAGGGUUGGGUGUGUCACUCAUUUACAAUGUCUGUUGCCAGCGGUGUACAAGUGGUGUUGUUAGGUGUUGGGCCUUAAAAUUCAUGGUAGAGAUAUUAAUUUAGCACUCAGUUUUCUGAUUUGUUCACUUUAAUUUUUUUUUCUUUUUAAAUUUAGGUCUAGCAGGUUCCUAUCAUGCUAAUAUGUUUUCUUAUUCAGAUAAAUGGAGUUCUUUGCUCUUCAUGUUUGUUUCAGGAAUAAUAUGAGUGGAAGCGGUGAAUGGGACAACCGGAUGAUGGAAUCCUUGAAA
rnacentral:misc_RNA from 1 species